CCAGCAUGCCGUGCGAGCACUCCCCGAGGCAGGGGGCAGGGCGGCCCACCGGACCGCGGGAGUGUUGGCAGAGCCGCGGAGCGGUCGGCGAUCUGUGAGUUCUGCAACUCGCAAAAGGGGAAUGGAUCAGCUUGGGAGAUGUGGUGGGAAUCAGCCCUGCCGCUCCCGUGCUGGUCGGAUUUCUAGAUGAAUGACAACACGUUGCAGUCAGCUUGCGUCUUUUGUGGUUGGAUGCUGUCCUGGCGGAAGGCACCAGAGAAAUAGGUAUUUACAUGAAGAAAUUUAUAAACUGGUAUGCAUAGAAGAAGGAAAUAUCCAAAUAAAUAUAGUGAGAAGCCUGAGACCUUCAAGCAAACAGCAUCAACCCUAGGUCCCUGCAAGAUGAUGGAUACUCAAUAAAAUCGAUGGCUGAAGCUUCAAAUGGAUGCUCAGAGCUGAGGAUGGUGACAUAUGGAGGGGAAAAAUUAAGUACCUGCUGUUCAUGACAUAAACUGCAGGUGGAUUUUUAGGAUUACCUUACUCAAAAUAGCAUCCUGUCAAGGGAAAUCAUCUGUAAAAACCUGCAUUUCUCCACUUUCAAGGUGGGAAGAGAUGGUGUGGGUCCUGAAGUCUAGCACAUGCCUGCAAGAGAUCACAAACUCUCAUGCUGAACAUUUACCUGAAAUGAGCCAGAGAUGAUUCCAUGUGUUUUUGGAGUCUAAUUCAUAUAGCAUGUGGAUGAAAUUAAAUUUUUGGGAAGGGCAUCAACAUGUGACAGCUGAGAACAUAGGAAUGCUACAUCAAGAAUGCCAGCUGGCCAAAAACCAAGUAUAAAAAGAGCGGCACUGUGUCACUGAUAAAAUCUUUGAUCAUGAAAUGCUUUGUUUCUGCUGAGUGGCUGAGAAUUGAAAUGGGGUUGAACGUGCUCUAUCCUAUAUGAAUAGCAGCCAGACAGACAUAUGGGUAGGGUAGAAGCAUGUCCUCUAUAGACACUGGGAUUUCUCUCAUAUCUACUGAGAGGGCACAGUUACUACAAACCUUGAAGACAGAAAUACAGCUGGCAAGGACAUAACUCUCUUGUGCUAGGUCCAGACUUGAACCAAGUUUUUAUUGCAAUCACACUUUUUUUUUUUUUUCUUUUUUUUUUUAAGGAAGCUUUUAGAGUUCAUAAGUUUUCAAGAGGGAAAGGAAUUAAUCGGAGAGAAAAUCCAGAUCGUGCAGAAUUUAGCUUGGAAAAGAAAAAGAGAAAUUUUAAUUUCUACAGAUCAUUAAAAAAAAUAAUGCUUUUUAAAAAAUGCUAUUUUCAAUAUUAAUUAGAGAGAGAUUAUUUUUUUAGCAGGUUAACCUUUUAUGUUUUGAAUUUUAUGUUUUAAUUAAAAGGUUACUAAAAUAUAUAAUUUGUAAUUAAAAAUCAAAGCUCUUCCCAUCCUUAGGAAAUGCAUUUGAUUGCACUGUAAAAUUCUCUGUAAACUAAACUCAAAUUCAUUUUGUGAGAGAAAAGUAUUAUACUGCUGUUUUACCAUGUGGGAAAACAGAGUGCAUUGUAUUGAUAACGAACUUCUUCAAAUUUUAGAAAGCUAUGCUAAGUACAGGAGCUCUGAGAAAUCCUUUUUUUGUGGCUGCUGCUCUUUGCUGUCUUGGAAGGCCUGCUGCACUUGGUGAUGGAGGUGGAGUACCAUCUGGAACAAAGGCAAAUGAGGUUAUAGUGUGCAUCACAGGUGGUCAUCAUCUGCAUGGCCAGGUGCUGCUUUAAUACCCCCAGUUGAGGGGAUAUAUAUUAAGUGCCCCAUUUAAGGCAUUUGAUCAUUUUUGUCACAUCUCUGUCACACAGAGCAAUGAAUGCCACAGCCCUGAUAUUAUAAACUCCAAAAUGAAUCUUCUUUUUUUGCAAUAUUCCUUUCUGUCAGUUCAAGGGGUCACCUAUCUUCACCUGAAGAGGUUUAUAUAUUUGUUUUCUCCUUUUUACUCAGCUGAAAUCAUUUUAAAUGUCAGCUGUGAAUCAGAAACCCUUGGCAGGUUGGUAACAUCUGUGUCUCUGUUUUGCCAAAUAGAUCCAGCUGACCUUCCAGGGGUUCAGAUACCCUCUGGCAGAGCAAAAUGCCCCUGUCUGCCCAGAUGACACCAGAUAUCAUAAAAUCUGCCUGAUAUGCAUACAUCCAGUAUGUGUGCAUGUGCACGCAGCACAUUUCCACCACGUAUUUGCAGCCUGUUGGAAGAUCGGGGCCAUAGCUUAAACCAGAUAGUAAAGAGCUGUGAAAAAAUUAAUUGUACUUUCAGCUCUGUGAACACCGCAAAGCACUUCUAAAAUUAUAUAUCCCUGUUUCUUCCUCCACUCCCUCAUUUUAUCUACUUUGUAGCUCUUAUUAGUGUUAACUUUGUGACCAAAGCAGAGCCGCUUAGAAAAGAAAAGCUGCAGCAGGACAAAAAUAUAUUCUGGAGAAUAAAAAAGCACUGCCCGAUGAACGCAGAAGGAGAAGAGAAGCCAAUGGUUAGUUUUAAGCUUAAUUUCUGGUCUAAAACCAAAGACCUCUUUAUAGUCUAAUAGAAUUAUAGACUUGAGUCUACCAUUAAUAGCAUGCAUGGCGCCACUGUAAUAAAAAAAAAAAAUGGAAAUUCAUUGUCUAAGAAUGAUUUAUGAAGUUCAGUGAUUCAUGUCAGAGUUUCCACGACAUUGUGGUUCUCAAAAAAUCCCAGGUCCAACUAACAGCACUCAGUUAGACAUUGAUCCUUUAAUGAAUACGUGCAUUCCACUUUGGCAAUGUUACAAGUGUGGAAGUGAGAGAGGAAGAGAAUAUGUGCAGCAAAAUACUGAGAAACAUCCCUGGUAUGCUUUGUACUUAGAAUCUUUAAGUUAUUCAUUUCAUCUUUCCACCCCUGGGGACAAAUAUGUUCCACAGAACAUGUAACUUCUUCUGAAGAAAAUACACAUUUUAAAAAUUGAGUUCUUAAAAAAAUGGAAUAAGAAGAUGUGAGCAAGCAAAGAUCAGAUUUGAGGAUUGUUUUUGCAGUAAUUUAUUUCAGAUGUUCAUGCACGAAUAAAAAUACUACGUAGGAAAUCGUAAGUUGCCCAUUUUCUACCACACAUUGUCCAUGGUGUCUCUGUAGUUCACACAAAGUGGGUUUACUCUUUUUUUUUUUUUUUUUUUUUUUUUCACCAGGCACAUUUAGGUAUAAUGGUUCAGCUCUUCUUUGGUCAUCAAUAGGGAGCCUUGUUACUAUGGUGACAGACAGAUGGAUUAAUGUGAUGUUUAGAGAGAGAUGGCAGUGCCAAAUUUUGAUAUAUACAGUAAGCACUAAUGUAGUGCCUACACACGAAGGCAUGCAUGCAGAAAAUCUCAGGGUUAGUUCUUCCAUAGGCACAGAGAGAGUUUUGGCACAAAAUUCCCAUUAUCUCUUGACAGAAAGUGGCCAUCUGUCUCCCGCUUACAACCUUCAAAAAUUGCCUGUUGCAGUCAAGGGCUGUUGCUUUAGAAACUCUAAGCGAAUGUCUAAUGGGGCCUGGUAUAAAGAACUGCUGCUGUCAACAUGUAUAUAAUAAGCCAUGAAGCUACUGGUCAUCUGAGAGUCAUCGACUGUACUUCACUGCCUGAAGUGCAGUUUGCAUUACUCACUGCACCUCUCACUGAUUAGAAAGGAAUGUGAGGUAUACAAAAUCAACUGGAUCUUUACAUAGCACAGACAGACUGCAUGUAAUUAUUCCUAACAAAUUUCACAGUUCCUUCUCUCUCAAACCUUAAUGACUGGCACCUUCAUCACCCAUCUCACUCACCCCCUUACAUAGAGCUCUUAAUGAGCUUUCCUGUUUGUAGAGUAUUAGCUUAAUGGUUUGUGUCUUGCAAAAAUCCUCAGAGAAGAAAAUAAUAUAGGAGUAAAACAAGAUAGCUGAUGAAUUACCCAGCAAAAAGAACUAAGAUAUUAUGUCAGGUGCAUAGUUUAUUUUAUUCUCCCAUGUACCAUGUUUGAACUAUUCAUUUAUUGCAGAACUUCUUCACUGCAAAAAACUGCAGUAAGCAGCUAUGUUCAUUGAACAGUUGGAUAUUUUUAAAAGACAGAUUGACCUGCAGACUGAAAUUCUGGCACAAACUUGUUGCCCUUAGAAAUAUCCUAAAUGUGAAAUCAGAAGUACUUUACCCAGAUCAUACAAUUCAUUUAUGUUACAAGAGUAAUUUAAUUAGAAAUGUUUAUCAUCCAUCUGCACAAACUGAUAAUUAUCAUUCAUCGUGAUGAUAAUAUUCAGCUCUCCUUCCAGGUCUUUUUUAAUUGUAACAUUAACCAUAGCAAUUAAGCCCUGUAAAUGACCGCAAGAAGGGCCUUUGGAUACAAUCGUCUCUGGAGCUGAUAAAGAUAAGUAUACACUUCAUAUUCAUGCCAAUUAAUUCCGUGGCUGGAUUUCUCAAGUAGGUGACGUAUUAUAUUUGAACCGAUUUUAUAUUGGCCAACUCCCAACGAUAAAUAAAAUACUAGUCCCAUUUCUUUUCCCAGUGUUUUGCAACAUAUGCCAUUGCUAAAGCUCCCCAGACCAGUGUAGUUGGCCUCAUGAGGACACCAAGUGGCAAGGGCUGGGCACCGCAGCUCUCCUGGUCCAUUCGGGCAUCUGACAGAGCAGCUUCUAAAAAUGAUGCUGAAGAUGCUAGUAAUAUUUCUCUCCGCCUCUGAGAGCCAUCAUAACUUGGUGAGUUCGAUCUGAGUCAGUCAAAAGCAAACCAUGUUUGACAUCACGCUUACCCAGACCCUCUGAUUAAUUCACACUGGAUUUGUGGGGGAAUCUGCCCACCCAUACCACGUCAGUCAGGCUGAGGAAAAAUUCAGGAGGCCUCAGUCCAACCUCCUCUUCAAAACAGAGUCAGCCAUGAGUUCAGACCAGGUCUGAACAGCUUUAAACAGACAGCUGUGCAAAAUGCAGAAAUGAGAUGGCACAGCCUCUGUGUGCAACCUAAUCUGAGCCCAGCUGUACUCAUGGAGGACAGUUUUGGGGAGAUGUUUGAGCUACAGACUAUGAAGUAUCUCGUGAAGCCCACAGCAGGAGACACAUGGGGUAGACAAAUUCAUGUACUGAGCUGCCACCAAGAGGCCUCCAUCUUGCCAACUGUAAAUUUGGAAGUUUCCAAUUCUGCCCAUCUGAGACAUGAAGAACAGGUUGGCAAUAGGUCAUAACCUAACUGGUGGUUCAAGACCACCUCUGCUAUCUCAGGUCAGACAUCCAGGCAGACCGGCUGACUCUGAAGUCCCAGGCCAUAAUUUAAAGGCACCCUGGUACAACCAUUUCUUUUUUCUUUGCUGUUAAGUUUUUUGAAUUUUGUCAGAAAUAAAUUUUCUCUGGAUCAUGAUAAAGGUGUUUGUAGUACAGCAAAAUAACUACUAAAAGGUGAUAGAGUACUAUUCUACAAUGAAAUACAUACUGAAAUCCUUACGGACACAACAUCCAGUAAAAAACAAAACAAAACAAAUCAACUUCAUAAACGUAUUUACUAAGACUCUAAAGCAAUGGUAAUAUCACAGGCAUUGGGAAGAGAUCUAGUCUAGCAUUUGCCUCUCUAGUUAAGGAAGGAAUGUGGGCACAGACAAAGAGAUGCAAAUAUAUUUCACUUACACAGAGAGAAUACUUCAACCACUGAGAAGGUAAUAAAACAUGAAAUUUAGUAAGAGUUAAGAUUAUAAAAUAAGUAGAUACACAUAUGUGCAGGAAACCCCUCCAACAUUCUGAGAAGCAUCCCACAGAAACAUGCCAUCUCCUGCAGCUUCCCCACAAACAUCAGUCAGUUUUCCUCAGGAGCUCCCCAAGCAUCCCCAUCUCUGCAGAGUCACAUGAACAUAGUCCAGGGCACCGGGCAGCCUUGAUUCACAAUAACAUCUCUGAAACUCGCCUCUGACUAGCCCUAAUGUCAUCAUGUAUGAGUGCUAAUUUGGGAUUUACAGCUGGAACUCUGGUCACGCUGCCAUUGGAACUUCCGCCAUCUACUGAACUGUGGCCAGGCUCUGGCCAUACAGAGCUCUGGUGUCAGUGUAACAUUCACACACAGCUAGUCUUGUCCUAGGUCAAGCAUUGCCUACUGAAUAAACAAACGGAAAAGUGAAAUAAAAAAAAAAGAAGUUACUGUUAAAACAGAAAGGUGGGCCAGUGCUGAAGGAGAUGACUGGGCAUCCAGAGAUCCAUCCUCCAAGCCUGUGCCUACGCCAAAAAAUACUAAAGCAGAACUGCACAAACUGAUUGAUUUCUUCAUUUCCUCUUCUCUAAAUGGAAAAAUACCCCUCACAUAAAUCUUUGAAGAUAGCUCAAUCAAUAUUUUUAAAAUGUCUUCUCUUUUUCAGAUGCAAAGCUCUUACUAUAAUUGUUCUUGUGUCUGAUAGAUGAUCACUGAUCUUGUCAGUAUUUCUGUGGCUAAAUGCUAUAAAUCAUUAUUUAGUGACCAGACUUUUUCUAGAAAAGAUCCGAGAAUUUACUCCCAGUGUGGGAAUUUCAUACACCUGAUUCUUAAGAGAGGCACAACAGUAAGCAGUUCCUUAUCAUAAAGACAGACAGUACUGUUAGAAACAAAAUCAUAGACUCAGAAUGCUUCAAUUUCUUGUCCAGCAGACCAGAAAUUUGUUCUGAAAUACUUACACAGCUUACACACAGAGGGUGUAAGGUGCCCCGUACUUUCAAAUAUCAAAGCCUUCAGAAGUACAGGAGAUGAUCCAACUCAAAGAGUAAAACCUAGUUCUCCCAAGAGCAGAAGAACAGCUCAAACGCUUUUUCUUCUCUCCUUCCAAAACCAGCAUUUGGCUCUCCCGAAUUCUUUUACAUAAGCAAAUUCUGUUAACUGAAUAUGUCAUUUUAACAAGUAUUCAAAUCAACCUCCUGCAUGUUUUGAAUUGGAUUUUCUAUCUCCAGAACUGAUGCUGUGCUUUAUCUGCCAACUGUCUCUGCAGUGGCACUGAAGACUGCUCUGGAUACAUUCUAUCAGACACCUCAAUAACUCAGUAAACAUAUUUAUUAUGCCACAGUGCUCUUACAAACUAACCCUUUCUCCACUGAAGACCUGAUUUCUAUCUUAGUCCUGAAGUGAAACCAGCCUUGACUGUGAAUUGCCAGCAUUCUCUGCAGUCCUGCAGUUAGUUGUCUGCUCAUAAGACGACAGGAGCAGGAGAAACACAGAUCAGCAUUAUAUUAAGAAGUCUGCACAUGGUGAUUGUAUUUCUUGAGCUGCUUAUGGGAAGGAAUGCCACGUAUUCAUGAGGAUUAUUAAAACAAACAAACAAACAAGCUUAGGGAAUGUGUUUAUGCAAACUUGUUUCUUUUGUAUUUUUCUUAAAUUUAUUUUCUUUCUUUUAAACAAUAAAAGAGGCCCACUGAAGGAAGUCUACCAGCCACAAUUGCUUUGCUGUGAAAUUCUGCAUCCUGGCCAUUGCAAACCUCAACACAAAGUAAACAGUGCCUGAACUCAGCACUCACAAUUUAAUAAUUCUGUCCAAACUUUUAUCUGUAGUCAAAUUAAAUUAGUACAAGCAAUGCAUGUUUACUUACUUGCAUAUAUAUUUUCAUGGCCUCAUUUUAAGAACCUUUGAAUAUUUGAUACCAGAAUCAUUAAAAUUGGUCUUUCGAACAAAAAUGUGUCUAAUUUCAGGAAGAGAUAACUGAAUUGUAGAAAACAUAGCUGGUAGCUAUAUGUAGAUUGCUCUGUUUGCUUGUGUACUGUAAGAGUGACAGAGAAGGAAGAAGAGAUAAUGCAAAGCUCUUGUGUAAAUUGUACUUGAAAGAAUUACAUUAAGUUAUAUAACAAUUUCAAUGGACAUAAUUUUGCUGAACAUCUCUCUCUCUCUGUUUUAAAGCAUGACAAUUUGUUUUAUAACACUGAGAAUUUUAAGUUCCUCAGAAAGACACAGUGGAUUUCAUAGGUUUUAUGCCCUACUUUAAGUCUUUGUGAAUGAUUAAUAGAGACAGAUCUUAUCUGACUAUCUUAAAUGUAGAUUCUUGGCACUGUUCAAAUCAAGAUUAAAUAACGUUAUUAUUCCUUUUUCUCAUCUCCUUCCUAGUCCUGGAGAUUUGAAAGAAAGUGACUUAUUGAUUGAUGUGAACUCAAAAAACGAUCCUAAGAAGAAAAAAAUCUAGGAUUUUAUCAUCAAAGAUAAAAAGCACGUUAUUAUCUCUCACAGUUCAAUGAUUACUCUUGCAGAAACAGUG